rnacentral:rRNA from 1 species
GAUGAACGCUGGCGGCGUGCCUAACACAUGCAAGUCGAGCGAACGGACGAUAAGCUUGCUUCUCUGAUGUUAGCGGCGGACGGGUGAGUAACACGUGGAUCACCUACCUAUAUGACUGGGAUAAUUUCGGGAAACCGGAGCUAAUACCAGAUAAUAUUUUGAACCGCAUGGUUCAAAAGUGAAUGACGGCCUUGCUGUCUCUUAUAGAUGGUUCCGCGCUGCAUUAGCUAGUUGGUAAGGUAACGGCUUACCAAGGCUACGAUGCAUAGCCGACCUGAGAGGAUGAUCGGCCACACUGGAACUGAGACACGGUCCAGACUCCUACGGGAGGCAGCAGUAGGGAAUCUUCGGCAAUGGGCGAAAGCCUGACGGAGCAACGCCGCGUGAGUGAUGAAGGUCUUCGGAUCGUAAAACUCUGUUGUUAGGGAAGAACAGAUGUGUAAGUAACUGUGCACAUCUUGACGGUACCUAAUCAAAAAGCCACGGCUAACUACGUG